rnacentral:rRNA from 1 species
AUUGAACGCUGGCGGAAUGCUUUACACAUGCAAGUCGAACGGUAGAGGGGGCAACCCCUUGAGAGUGGCGAACGGGUGAGUAAUAUAUCGGAACGUGCCCAGUCGUGGGGAUAACGUAGCGAAAGUUACGCUAAUACCGCAUACGAUCUAAGGAUGAAAGCGGGGGGAUCGCAAGACCUCGCGCGAUUGGAGUGGCCGAUAUCAGAUUAGGUAGUUGGUGAGGUAAAGGCUCACCAAGCCAACGAUCUGUAGCUGGUCUGAGAGGACGACCAGCCACACUGGAACUGAGACACGGUCCAGACUCCUACGGGAGGCAGCAGUGGGGAAUUUUGGACAAUGGACGCAAGUCUGAUCCAGCCAUUCCGCGUGCAGGAUGAAGGCCCUCGGGUUGUAAACUGCUUUUGUACGG